CCCUUGUAUCAAAAAUAAAUUUAAUUAGUAUAAGAAGAAAUUUAAAAAUUUUGGCGGUUUAUUAUUAAUUAGAGGAGCUUGUAUUUUAAAUAGAAUUAACUCUUUAUAUUUAAAUAAUAAAUUAUUUAUUCAUCUCCGUUAUUAAAUGAUAAAGUUGCAAAAAUUAUAGAUUAUUAAUAUUUCAGGUCAAGAUGUAGUAUUUAUUAUAUUAUAUUAGCUACAUUUAUGAAAUUUUGGAUUUUUUAUAAAAGUAGAUAUUAAUUAAGAAAUUGAAUUUAAUUGUAAUUAUAUUUACAGUAUUAUAAUGAAUAGAAAUAAUUUAUGUAUAUAUUGCCCGUCACUUCUAUUAAAAAGG
rnacentral:rRNA from 1 species